GGUUCCACCACCAGCCACCAGCCGGUAAAUGGCGUCUAGGGGAACGCGAUCGUGGAAGAGAGAAAGGGAGAGAGAGAAAAAGCAGGCACCGGUCACCCCGGAACCGGCCUGAGCGUCCCGGAAGCGGCACCCAGGACAGGCCGGCCGAAGGAGGAGGAGGAACUAUCCCGGGGCCGAGCCGAAAGCAGGUCCCGCGGACUGCUGUUCAUGCGCAUGCGCGGCGGGUGGGGCGCGCGAGACCUGAACGUAAUACCUGUACAUUUUGAGUAAAGUCAAGCAGUCAGCGAGAACCCCAUAAAAAAAUUUUAGGUUUUGCUGGGAAAAGACUGCAUUCCAGAGAUAGUUUGGACCUUCACUCCAGCCUUACUCUCCAGUCACCAAUGAGGGCGAACUUGCUGUAAUUGGAGCUGCAGGUUGGAGCUGCAUCUUGGCCUGGCCAGUCAGCUUAGAAUGAUAGCCGGGCAAAGUUGGAGAACGCAUCCUUGUAGCCAAUAAGUAACUGCCAGCAUAAUUUAACCUUAUUAAAAGACCCCUGCUUCCUUUGUUCGGGGCUCUCGGUAUCUGCCUCUGCAUUGGUAGGUGCCGUGAACCCGGACUCGAGUCUGAAAUAAACUCCCUUUUGUGUUUGCAUCAGCUGUCUUUGGGUUCUUGGAGACUAUGCUCGCCGAGUCUGCUGACCUUGGGCACAACCGGUGACCAGAUGACUAGAGCAAGGGAAGGUUCGCUGUGCUUGCUCUUGACCUUCAUGUGAGUGAAAUCUGACCACCGGUCUCAUGCGCAUCUGACUGCUGUAACCCUAUGUCUGGGAAAGUCUUCUGGGUUGUUGCCUGUGGCAAGAGUUUGUUCUUUAAGAACUCACUGUCUAGGGCUUCCCCGGUGGCGCAGCGGUUGAGCGCUGGGUUGCGAAGUUGCCCGCGGCCUCUGCCGCGCCGGUUCGAUCCCCGGCUGCUCCUCAGCCACCGGAGGAGGAUCCCACAUGGCGCGCAGACCUCUCCUGCCGCCCGCUGCUCCC